GACGAACGCUGGCGGCGUGCUUAACACAUGCAAGUCGAACGAUGAAGAAGAGCUUGCUCUUCGGAUUAGUGGCGAACGGGUGAGUAACACGUGACUAACCUGCCCCUUUCUCUGGGAUAACGCUCCGAAAGGAGUGCUAAUACCGGAUACUCACAUCGAGGCACAUGCCUUGGUGUGGAAAGUUUUUCGGAAAGGGAUGGAGUCGCGGCCUAUCAGCUUGUUGGUGAGGUAACGGCUCACCAAGGCGACGACGGGUAGCCGGCCUGAGAGGGCGACCGGCCACACUGGGACUGAGACACGGCCCAGACUCCUACGGGAGGCAGCAGUGGGGAAUAUUGCACAAUGGGCGCAAGCCUGAUGCAGCGACGCCGCGUGAGGGAUGAAGGUCUUCGGAUUGUAAACCUCUUUCAGUAGGGACGAAGCGAAAGUGACGGUACCUAAAGAAGAAGCACCGGCUAACUACGUGCCAGCCGCCGCAGUAA
rnacentral:rRNA from 1 species